GAUCCUGGCUCAGGACGAACGCUGGCGGCGUGCUUAACACAUGCAAGUCGAGCGGUAAGGCCCUUCGGGGUACACGAGCGGCGAACGGGUGAGUAACACGUGGGUGAUCUGCCCUGUACUUCGGGAUAAGCCUGGGAAACUGGGUCUAAUACCGGAUAUGACCUUACAUCGCAUGGUGUUUGGUGGAAAGAUUUAUCGGUACAGGAUGGGCCCGCGGCCUAUCAGCUUGUUGGUGGGGUAAUGGCCUACCAAGGCGACGACGGGUAGCCGGCCUGAGAGGGCGACCGGCCACACUGGGACUGAGACACGGCCCAGACUCCUACGGGAGGCAGCAGUGGGGAAUAUUGCACAAUGGGCGAAAGCCUGAUGCAGCGACGCCGCGUGAGGGAUGACGGCCUUCGGGUUGUAAACCUCUUUCGACAGGGACGAAGCGCAAGUGACGGUACCUGUAGWARAAGCACCGGCCAACUACGUGCCAGCAGC
rnacentral:rRNA from 1 species